GCACUUUGCUCUCAGUCGUUCUGCUGUGUGGUGCGGAGCGCGGAGGGCAGAGGUGCCACAGUAAAGCGGAGUAAAUCCAGAUGGGUUUCCUGUACGAUGGGACCCGUCUCUACAGCUUUGCAACAAAU